rnacentral:rRNA from 1 species
GAUAAACGCUGGCGGCGUGCCUAAUACAUGCAAGUCGAGCGAACGGACGAGAAGCUUGCUUCUCUGAUGUUAGCGGCGGACGGGUGAGUAACACGUGGAUAACCUACCUAUAAGACUGGGAUAACUUCGGGAAACCGGAGCUAAUACCGGAUAAUAUUUUGAACCGCAUGGUUCAAAAGUGAAAGACGGUCUUGCUGUCACUUAUAGAUGGAUCCGCGCUGCAUUAGCUAGUUGGUAAGGUAACGGCUUACCAAGGCAACGAUGCAUAGCCGACCUGAGAGGGUGAUCGGCCACACUGGAACUGAGACACGGUCCAGACUCCUACGGGAGGCAGCAGUAGGGAAUCUUCCGCAAUGGGCGAAAGCCUGACGGAGCAACGCCGCAUGAGUGAUGAAGGUCUUCGGAUCGUAAAACUCUGUUAUUAGGGAAGAACAUAUGUGUAAGUAACUGUGCACAUCUUGACGGUACCUAAUCAGAAAGCCACGGCUAACUACGUGCCAGCAGCCGCGGUAAUACGUAGGUGGCAAGCGUUAUCCGGAAUUAUUGGGCGUAAAGCGCGCGUAGGCGGUUUUUUAAGUCUGAUGUGAAAGCCCACGGCUCAACCGUGGAGGGUCAUUGGAAACUGGAAAACUUGAGUGCAGAAGAGGAAAGUGGAAUUCCAUGUGUAGCGGUGAAAUGCGCAGAGAUAUGGAGGAACACCAGUGGCGAAGGCGACUUUCUGGUCUGUAACUGACGCUGAUGUGCGAAAGCGUGGGGAUCAAACAGGAUUAGAUACCCUGGUAGUCCACGCCGUAAACGAUGAGUGCUAAGUGUUAGGGGGUUUCCGCCCCUUAGUGCUGCAGCUAACGCAUUAAGCACUCCGCCUGGGGAGUACGACCGCAAGGUUGAAACUCAAAGGAAUUGACGGGGACCCGCACAAGCGGUGGAGCAUGUGGUUUAAUUCGAAGCAACGCGAAGAACCUUACCAAAUCUUGACAUCCUUUGACAACUCUAGAGAUAGAGCCUUCCCCUUCGGGGGACAAAGUGACAGGUGGUGCAUGGUUGUCGUCAGCUCGUGUCGUGAGAUGUUGGGUUAAGUCCCGCAACGAGCGCAACCCUUAAGCUUAGUUGCCAUCAUUAAGUUGGGCACUCUAAGUUGACUGCCGGUGACAAACCGGAGGAAGGUGGGGAUGACGUCAAAUCAUCAUGCCCCUUAUGAUUUGGGCUACACACGUGCUACAAUGGACAAUACAAAGGGCAGCGAAACCGCGAGGUCAAGCAAAUCCCAUAAAGUUGUUCUCAGUUCGGAUUGUAGUCUGCAACUCGACUACAUGAAGCUGGAAUCGCUAGUAAUCGUAGAUCAGCAUGCUACGGUGAAUACGUUCCCGGGUCU